rnacentral:rRNA from 1 species
AACGAUGAUAUCACUGCUUGCAGUGAUUGAUUAGUGGCGAACGGGUGAGUAACACGUGAGGAACUUGCCCAUGAGCGGGGGACAACAUUCGGAAACGGAUGCUAAUACCCCAUAGGUGGAUUGGUCGCAUGACUAAUUCAUUAAAGGUGGCUCUGCUACCACUCAUGGAUAGCCUCGCGGCGUAUUAGCUAGUUGGUAAGGUAAUGGCUUACCAAGGCAGUGAUACGUAGCCGACUUGAGAGGGUGAUCGGCCACACUGGGACUGAGACACGGCCCAGACUCCUACGGGAGGCAGCAGUAGGGAAUCUUCCACAAUGGGUGCAAACCUGAUGGAGCAAUGCCGCGUGAGUGAAGAAGGUCUUCGGAUCGUAAAGCUCUGUUGUUAGAGAAGAACACGUGCUAGGUAACUACUAGCGCCUUGACGGUAUCUAACCAGAAAUCACGGCUAACUAC